GUCUUCUUCCAUCUCCCUCUCCCUGGAGAGCCAAGAAACAUAGCCAGAAACUACCAUGAAUGCGACAAAAACAAACAGAAAACCUUCUCUUAAAUAAAACCACUCCAUAAUUCAUCCCAAAUAAUACUCUCUCCGUCUCCAUUUCCCUCUGAAUCUCUCAGAGGGAGAUAGGGAGAAAGAAGGAGAGUCUGGUUGUUGCAGAGAAGAUUAUCCUAUUCAAAGUGAUGAUCCCAUGUACUCUCUUCUUUUUCACCUUCGACAUAAAACAGGAGAGAACAGAGCAAAACAGAGGGAAAAUAGAAUAAAUUAGAGCAAGUCCCGUUUUAUUUCAAUGCAACUAUCAUUCAAAAUCCUUCAGAAUCUCUCAUGGACAUUCUUGAUUUUUCUUAUUUUCUUCUUUCUCUCUUCUUCUGCCACCCGUAAUUCUGAAAUCCAACUUAACUGCGGUUCCCAUAAGGACGAGCUCAAUUCCACUAUCUCCACGUCUUUCGUUCCAAAUUUUGUCAAAGUCAUGGAAUCUAUCCAACAACAAGUGUCUAGGAGAAACUGGGGGCAUGCUGCUGUUACCUGGCCAUCGCCUCAGGUCCAUGCCUUAGCCCAGUGCCACAGUGAUCUCUCUACCCUUGAUUGCAAACUCUGUUUUAGCCAGGGCAGAGUAAAGCUUCCCGGUUGCCUCCCCAGUACGGCUGCUCGUAUCUUUCUUGAUGGCUGCUUUCUUCGCUACGAUAAUUACAGCUUCCUCCAUGAAUCCAUCGACCCUAAUUAUGAUAAUGUGAACUGUAGCCAGGCAGCAGGUGUUUUGAUAGAUAGCUCUUUGCACAUGGAUUUUAGGAGAAAGGUUGCAGAUGUGAUCAAGAAUGUCACUGAAAGAGCCCUUGGCAACCGAAAGUUUGCCACUGUAGAGGGAAAAGGAGGAGUCGUUCCAGCUUAUGCAUUGGCUCAGUGUUGGAAUUCACUUAACUACAGGGAGUGCAGAGAUUGCUUGGUGAAGGCAGGCUCACAAUUGAGGACAUGUGCUCCUGGGGCACAGGGCCAGGCUCUGUUUACCGGUUGUUAUAUGCGGUAUUCUACAGAGAGAUUCUUUAACACCAGCUCAGAAGCAGCAGACCAAGGAAGUAAAAUUGGUUUUAAACAUUCUUCCACUCCGUUUCUCUUCAAAUUUUUGGUUUUAGUUGGAUUAAAUUGCCUGGUCUUAAAUGUUGUCAGUGGUUUAUCCUCUGAUUGGAAGUGUUAAAUCAUAUUUUCCGGCUUUCUGCUUAUUGGAAUAGAAAUGAGUGCUUGUUUGCUGUUAUUCCAUCUCUGCCAGGUGUUCUUAUAAUUUAACAUGUUUUGCUAAAUGUACAGGCUCACAUGCUGGUAUGAUAGGAGCAAUUGCCUUAGCAGCAGCAGCCUUUAUCGUGCUGGCUUCCUUUGGUGCUUUUAUUGGGUAUGGGAGAUUAUCUAAGAGGAAAGCAGAGCAAAACAAUCUUAGGGGCCUUACAAACUGGUCUAAUUUGAAUUUUAAGUAUGAAGUGCUUGAGAAGGCAACCAAUUUUUUUAGCGACGACAUGAAAUUAGGCCAAGGAGGGGCCGGUUCUGUAUUUAAAGGAAGUCUCCCAGAUGGAAGAACGGUUGCAGUUAAGAGAUUGGUCUAUAAUACACAGCAAUGGGUUGAUCAAUUCUUCAAUGAAGUGAACUUGAUCAGUGAUAUUCAACACAAAAAUCUUGUAAGACUUCUGGGUUGCAGUAUUGAAGGCCCUGAGAGCCUUCUUGUUUAUGAAUAUGUACCCAACAGGAGCCUUGAUCAAAUUCUUUUCAUGAAGAACACAAUACAUAUCCUAAGCUGGCAGCAGCGGUAUAAUAUCGUCCUUGGAACAGCAGAAGGGCUUGCAUAUCUUCAUGGAGGU
rnacentral:misc_RNA from 1 species